rnacentral:rRNA from 1 species
UACGGGGGGGGCAAGCGUUGUUCGGAAUUACUGGGCGUAAAGGGCUCGUAGCCGGCCAACUAAGUCAGACGUGAAAUCCCCAGGCUCAACCUGGGAACUGCGUCUGAUACUGGAUGGCUUGAAUCCGGGAGAGGGAUGCAGAAUUCCAGGUGUAGCGGUGAAAUGCGUAGAUAUCUGGAGGAAUACCGGUGGCGAAGGCGGCAUCCUGGACCGGCAUUGACGCUGAGGAGCGAAAGCCAGGGGAGCAAACGGG